rfam:Perkinsela sp. CCAP 1560/4 XT18scaffold_5787, whole genome shotgun sequence.
GGCGAAAUAGUUAAGUGGUAAAAUUCUCGUUUAGGGUAUGAGAGGCCCGGGUUCGAUUCCCGGUUUCGCCC